GAACUAGGUCUGUAAUUCGAGUUUAUUAAUUAAACGUGCUUUUUAAAAGUCCCGCUUAAAACCGACAAGGCAUGGUUUCAAUGGGGGCGUGAGGAGGGGGUGAAGAGUUGAGGGAAUUCUAUUCACUGUCCUACAAAAAAGUCCCAUAUUUUCUGAAAUCCUUCCAGUCAGGUAAUCCUCUUUUAAAAUGCAAAUUUUUCCUCCAAGACACCAGAGGUACGGUGCCUGUCGGUCACAUCUUUCUCUUACUGGGUUGAUUUAAAUAACACUAGUUUCCUUGCGGGAUUCUGAUUGAAAGGAGGUUUCUGGAAGCCUCGGCACUGAUAUGGUAAAACAGGCCUUAGGAGGGACAGAGGGGUGAGGAAACAAAAUUUUCACCUGUUGUAGCCAACCUUUCUUGCAUAGCUCUAAUCCUAAGAACAACUUUAUAAGCUAGAAAUUAACUAUUUCAUGCUCAGUUUACCCCUCCAGCAGCUGAGGCCUAAGAGAAAAGUAGCUGCAGGUGGCAGGGCUGGGCCUCUUCUGGCCUGAAGUUCUUCAGAGACCCUUCUAGGUCCUCUGCCGGGUCCCUGGUCCGCCGAGGUCCUUUGCGGACUAGUGGGUGGGAGAGCUGGUCUGGGGAGAAUGGGAAGGGGGGCCGGGGCUCGAGAGUCAUGCUAGCCCCGGCGGAAAGGAGGCCCACAACCUGCUCUCCCGCCCUCAGUUCCCCACACAUCCGGCUUGUAAACUGGACUAUGGCCCCAGCCGAUUCACAGCAACUCCAGCGGGCAGGCCUUGCACUGGCAGCCCAUUUUACAGAUUCUGCGACAUUAAAGGCUCUUCCUAGGGAGAGGAAGCGGAGUUUACCAAUCCAAAAUGUGACCUUUUCUAGGUAUUAUUUUAAGCUGAAAAACCUUCAACCUGUCUUGCACCCAUAGUCUAUUGGAACAUUCAUAUGUACAUAUGUAAUAAAUUUGCUCAUUUUCUCCCGUUA